GUGGGGAAUAUUGCACAAUGGGGGAAACCCUGAUGCAGCGACGCCGCGUGAGCGAAGAAGUAUUUCGGUAUGUAAAGCUCUAUCAGCAGGGAAGAAAGAAAUGACGGUACCUGAGUAAGAAGCACCGGCUAAAUACGUGCCAGCAGCCGCGGUAAUACGUAUGGUGCAAGCGUUAUCCGGAUUUACUGGGUGUAAAGGGAGCGCAGGCGGCGCGUUAAGUCUGAUGUGAAAACCCAAGGCUCAACCAUGGGACUGCAUUGGAAACUGGCGAGCUGGAGUGCCGGAGAGGUAAGCGGAAUUCCUAGUGUAGCGGUGAAAUGCGUAGAUAUUAGGAGGAACACCAGUGGCGAAGGCGGCUUACUGGACGGCAACUGACGCUGAGGCUCGAAAGCGUGGGGAGCAAACAGG
rnacentral:rRNA from 1 species